UACGGAGGGUGCAAGCGUUAUCCGGAUUUAUUGGGUUUAAAGGGUCCGCAGGCGGGCCUGUAAGUCAGGGGUGAAAGCCGGCAGCUUAACUGUCGAACUGCCUUUGAAACUGCAGGUCUUGAGUAAGAAUGAAGCAGCUGGAAUGUGUGGUGUAGCGGUGAAAUGCAUAGAUAUCACACGGAACACCGAUAGCGAAGGCAGGUUGCUAAUUCUUUACUGACGCUGAGGGACGAAAGCGUGGGGAGCGAACAGG
rnacentral:rRNA from 1 species